GACGAACGCUGGCGGCGUGCUUAACACAUGCAAGUCGAACGGAAAGGCCCUGCUUUUGUGGGGUGCUCGAGUGGCGAACGGGUGAGUAACACGUGAGUAACCUGCCCUUGACUUUGGGAUAACUUCAGGAAACUGGGGCUAAUACCGGAUAGGAGCUCCUGCUGCAUGGUGGGGGUUGGAAAGUUUCGGCGGUUGGGGAUGGACUCGCGGCUUAUCAGCUUGUUGGUGGGGUAGUGGCUUACCAAGGCUUUGACGGGUAGCCGGCCUGAGAGGGUGACCGGCCACAUUGGGACUGAGAUCCGGCCCAGACUCCUACGGGGGGCAGCGGGGGGAAAUAUUGCAAAGGGGGCGGAGCUCGGAUGCGGCACCGCCGCGUGGGGGAUGACGGCUUUCGGUUUGUAAACCGCUUGCGCCUGGGACGAAGGGGGAGGGACGGAAAGGGGAAAAGAAGCCCCGGCUAACCACGUC
rnacentral:rRNA from 1 species